GGGUUGUGAGGUUAAGCGACUAAGCGUACACGGUGGAUGCCCUGGCAGUCAGAGGCGAUGAAGGACGUGCUAAUCUGCGAAAAGCGUCGGUAAGGUGAUAUGAACCGUUAUAACCGGCGAUGUCCGAAUGGGGAAACCCAGUGUGAUUCGUCACACUAUCGUUAACUGAAUACAUAGGUUAACGAGGCGAACCGGGGGAACUGAAACAUCUAAGUACCCCGAGGAAAAGAAAUCAACCGAGAUUCCCCCAGUAGCGGCGAGCGAACGGGGAGCAGCCCAGAGUCUGAAUCAGCUUGUGUGUUAGUGGAACGGUCUGGAAAGUCCGACGGUACAGGGUGAUAGUCCCGUACACCAAAAUGCACAGGUUGUGAACUCGAAGAGUAGGGCGGGACACGUGGUAUCCUGUCUGAAUAUGGGGGGACCAUCCUCCAAGGCUAAAUACUCCUGACUGACCGAUAGUGAACCAGUACCGUGAGGGAAAGGCGAAAAGAACCCCGGCGAGGGGAGUGAAAAAGAACCUGAAACCGUGUACGUACAAGCAGUGGGAGCACCUUCGGGUGUGACUGCGUACCUUUUGUAUAAUGGGUCAGCGACUUAUAUUCUGUAGCAAGGUUAACCGUAUAGGGGAGCCGCAGGGAAACCGAGUCUUAACUGGGCGUUAAGUUGCAGGGUAUAGACCCGAAACCCGGUGAUCUAGCCAUGGGCAGGUUGAAGGUUGGGUAACACUAACUGGAGGACCGAACCGACUAAUGUUGAAAAAUUAGCGGAUGACUUGUGGCUGGGGGUGAAAGGCCAAUCAAACCGGGAGAUAGCUGGUUCUCCCCGAAAGCUAUUUAGGUAGCGCCUCGUGAACUCAUCUUCGGGGGUAGAGCACUGUUUCGGCUAGGGGGUCAUCCCGACUUACCAACCCGAUGCAAACUACGAAUACCGAAGAAUGUUAUCACGGGAGACACACGGCGGGUGCUAACGUCCGUCGUGAAGAGGGAAACAACCCAGACCGCCAGCUAAGGUCCCAAAGUCAUGGUUAAGUGGGAAACGAUGUGGGAAGGCACAGACAGCCAGGAUGUUGGCUUAGAAGCAGCCAUCAUUUAAAGAAAGCGUAAUAGCUCACUGGUCGAGUCGGCCUGCGCGGAAGAUGUAACGGGGCUAAACCAUGCACCGAAGCUGCGGCAGCGACACUAUGUGUUGUUGGGUAGGGGAGCGUUCUGUAAGCCUGCGAAGGUGUGCUGUGAGGCAUGCUGGAGGUAUCAGAAGUGCGAAUGCUGACAUAAGUAACGAUAAAGCGGGUGAAAAGCCCGCUCGCCGGAAGACCAAGGGUUCCUGUCCAACGUUAAUCGGGGCAGGGUGAGUCGACCCCUAAGGCGAGGCCGAAAGGCGUAGUCGAUGGGAAACAGGUUAAUAUUCCUGUACUUGGUGUUACUGCGAAGGGGGGACGGAGAAGGCUAUGUUAGCCGGGCGACGGUUGUCCCGGUUUAAGCAUGUAGGCUGGUUGUCCAGGCAAAUCCGGAUAAUCAAGGCUGAGGUGUGAUGACGAGGCACUACGGUGCUGAAGUAACAAAUGCCCUGCUUCCAGGAAAAGCCUCUAAGCAUCAGGUAACAUCAAAUCGUACCCCAAACCGACACAGGUGGUCAGGUAGAGAAUACCAAGGCGCUUGAGAGAACUCGGGUGAAGGAACUAGGCAAAAUGGUGCCGUAACUUCGGGAGAAGGCACGCUGGUGUGUAGGUGAAGUCCCUGCGGAUGGAGCUGAGACCAGUCGAAGAUACCAGCUGGCUGCAACUGUUUAUUAAAAACACAGCACUGUGCAAACACGAAAGUGGACGUAUACGGUGUGACGCCUGCCCGGUGCCGGAAGGUUAAUUGAUGGGGUUAUCCGUAAGGAGAAGCUCUUGAUCGAAGCCCCGGUAAACGGCGGCCGUAACUAUAACGGUCCUAAGGUAGCGAAAUUCCUUGUCGGGUAAGUUCCGACCUGCACGAAUGGCGUAAUGAUGGCCAGGCUGUCUCCACCCGAGACUCAGUGAAAUUGAACUCGCUGUGAAGAUGCAGUGUACCCGCGGCAAGACGGAAAGACCCCGUGAACCUUUACUAUAGCUUGACACUGAACAUUGAGCCUUGAUGUGUAGGAUAGGUGGGAGGCUUUGAAGCGUGGACGCCAGUCUGCGUGGAGCCAACCUUGAAAUACCACCCUUUAAUGUUUGAUGUUCUAACGUUGGCCCCUUACCGGGGUUGCGGACAGUGUCUGGUGGGUAGUUUGACUGGGGCGGUCUCCUCCCAAAGCGUAACGGAGGAGCACGAAGGUUAGCUAAUCCUGGUCGGACAUCAGGAGGUUAGUGCAAUGGCAUAAGCUAGCUUGACUGCGAGCGUGACGGCGCGAGCAGGUGCGAAAGCAGGUCAUAGUGAUCCGGUGGUUCUGAAUGGAAGGGCCAUCGCUCAACGGAUAAAAGGUACUCCGGGGAUAACAGGCUGAUACCGCCCAAGAGUUCAUAUCGACGGCGGUGUUUGGCACCUCGAUGUCGGCUCAUCACAUCCUGGGGCUGAAGUAGGUCCCAAGGGUAUGGCUGUUCGCCAUUUAAAGUGGUACGCGAGCUGGGUUUAGAACGUCGUGAGACAGUUCGGUCCCUAUCUGCCGUGGGCGCUGGAGAAUUGAGGGGGGCUGCUCCUAGUACGAGAGGACCGGAGUGGACGCAUCACUGGUGUUCGGGUUGUCAUGCCAAUGGCACUGCCCGGUAGCUAAAUGCGGAAGAGAUAAGUGCUGAAAGCAUCUAAGCACGAAACUUGCCCCGAGAUGAGUUCUCCCUGAGACUUUAAGUCUCCUGAAGGAACGUUGAAGACGACGACGUUGAUAGGCCGGGUGUGUAAGCGCAGCGAUGCGUUGAGCUAACCGGUACUAAUGAACCGUGAGGCUUAACCUUACAACGCCGAAG
rnacentral:rRNA from 1 species